rnacentral:rRNA from 1 species
CACGUAGGGGGCAAGCGUUGUCCGGAAUUAUUGGGCGUAAAGAGCUCGUAGGCGGCUCGGUAAGUCGGGUGUCAAAUCCUCAGGCUCAACCUGGGGCUCCACCCGAUACUGCUGUGGCUAGAGUCCGGUAGGGGAGCGUGGAAUUCCUGGUGUGGCGGUGAAAUGCGCAGAUAUCAGGAGGAACACCAGCGGCGAAGGCGGCGCUCUGGGCCGGAACUGACGCUGAGGAGCGAAAGCGUGGGUAGCAAACAGG